UGAAGCAAGACGAAAUCUUAAUAAGAAGAAAAUGCUACAAAUCAAUGAACACCUUGAAAUCUCUCUGUGUAUACUUCUCUUGAAAGUUAUGCCAGAAAACCAAGAAGAGUGUCUGUAACAUUCAUCCCCACUUAGUUUCACUCCAAAAUACAAAUUAGCACUCCCUGUUACCAGACUAGUUGCCAUUGUAGUAAUACUGCAAAAACAAGGGAGCAGAAUUUCAUGAAAAAGAUACAAAAGGCUGUAGGUGCAAGCAAUUGAGGAGUCAAGCUACUUUCCCAAA